CCUACGGGUGGCAGCAGUGAGGAAUAUUGGUCAAUGGGCGCGAGCCUGAACCAGCCAAGUAGCGUGAAGGAUGACUGCCCUACGUAUUGUAAACUUCUUUUAUCAGGGAAUAAAGUGAGGCACGUGUGCCUUUUUGUAUGUACUUUAUGAAUAAGGAUCGGCUAACUCCGUGCCAGCAGCCGCGGUAAUACGGAGGAUCCGAGCGUUAUCCGGAUUUAUUGGGUUUAAAGGGAGCGUAGAUGGGUUGUUAAGUCAGUGGUGAAAGGUUGCGGCUCAACCGUAAAAUUGCAAUUGAAACUGGCAGCCUUGAGUAGAGGAGAGGUAGGCGGAAUGCGCGGUGUAGCGGUGAAAUGCUUAGAUAUCACGAAGAACCCCGAUUGCGAAGGCAGCCUACUAAAUUGCCACUGACACUGAGGCUCGAAAGUGUGGGUAUCAAACAGGAUUAGAUACCCUUGUAGUC
rnacentral:rRNA from 1 species